AUAUGCCUACAACAUAGCAUUAAUGCACAAGAUCCCAUUAGAACUUUGCACUUAAGCGCGCUCAAGAUAGAGUAGUAAUGUGAUGGGUGACCACCCGGGAAGUCCUAGUGUUUUACAUGCC
rfam:Picea glauca, whole genome shotgun sequence.